UACGUAUGGCGGAAGCGUUAUCCGGAUUUACUGGGCGUAAAGGGAGCGCAGGCGGCGCGCCAAGUCUGAUGUGAAACCCCGGGGCUCAACCCCGGGCAUGCAUUGGAAACUGGCGGGCUGGAGUGCCGGAGAGGUAAGCGGAAUUCCUAGUGUAGCGGUGAAAUGCGUAGAUAUUAGGAGGAACACCAGUGGCGAAGGCGGCUUACUGGACGGCAACUGACGCUGAGGCUCGAAAGCGUGGGGAGCAAACAGG
rnacentral:rRNA from 1 species